CAAUUUUCUGGUAGGAGUAACAAGAAUCAAGAACCAUGUGAAAUAUAAUAUAAUCUAAAAUCCUAGUAAACAGGCACCCAAGAAGCAAAAGUGUCGUUCUCCUCAGUUAGUCAAAUCUUCUAUGGGAGCCAAGACAGCCCUACCGAAGAGGAUGAUGAUAGGACAUUAGAUUUUUAAGCUCAAGGUGAGACCUACGAGUGACCAACAAGUGGCAGAUAGCAUAUACCAAUAGAUUUAAGCUCAAUCCAAGAGCCAGCACACUGCAACAUAUGGCAGGAGCCGCAGGAUUUAAAAGCCAGGAGGAAGUUUCACAACCCUGUGAAACCUGACAUCAACUGAAAUCCCAAAAAUAGGUACCCAAAGAAGAUACAAUGAUGUCAUGCUCCUCUCAUCCGAUCAGAGAAACUAUAGCACCUUCUGUUAGGAUGAUGCCAGCGCAGGCACUAGAGUAAGCUCCAAGCCAAAACCUAAAAGAGACCCACGAAAAGUAGACAGCAGUAAUCGUCAGGGGCGACAAGAAUCAAGAGCUUGUGAGACCAGAUGCCCGGCGGAAGUCAGAAGAGGACCUGACACGGCCAUCCGUUGGGAAGAGCACUACGUCGCAAGCACCAAGUCCACCAAGAGGCAGGUUGCAGUGAGCAAAUCCAUUCGUGCUGCAUCGGCGCCGCUAUUCUUUGACGAUCCGUUCCCUUCCUCUCUCGCUUCUCGCCGCCUCUCCUUCUGUAUUCUCUUCACAGUCCCCUCAGAU
rnacentral:lncRNA from 1 species